rnacentral:rRNA from 1 species
AUUGAACGCUGGCGGCAUGCCUUACACAUGCAAGUCGAACGGCAGCACGGUAUAGCUUGGCAGAUUGAUGGCGAGAGUCGAGCGGGGGAGUAGUACACCUGGACGUGUCCUGUUGCGGGGGGGAACAAGUAGGGAGACUAGCGCUAAUAGCACACACCCCGUGGGUGUGAGAGGGGGGCAUCAUGGGAUCAUGCUCUAUGAGAGGCCGAUGUCUGAGUAGCUAGUUGGUGCGGUAAAGGCGCACCAAGGCGACGAUCAGUAGCUGGUCUGAGAGGAUGAUCAGCCACACUGGAACUGAGACACGGCCCAGACUCCUACGGGAGGCAGCAGUGGGGAAUUUUGGACAAUGGGCGAAAGCCUGAUCCAGCAAUGCCGCGUGUGUGAAGAAGGCCUUCGGGUUGUAAAGCCCUUUUGUCCGGAAAGAAAAGCCGCAGGUUAAUACCUCGCGUUGAUGACGGUACCGAAAGAAUAAGGACCGGCUAACUUCGUG